UGAGGAAUAUUGGUCAAUGGGCGGUAGCCUGAACCAGCCAAGUCGCGUGAGGGAAGAAUGUCCUAUGGAUUGUAAACCUCUUUUGUCGGGGAGCAACUCUGCCACGUGUGGCAGACUGAGAGUACCCGAAGAAAAAGCAUCGGCUAACUCCGUGCCAGCAGCCGCGGUAAUACGGAGGAUGCGAGCGUUAUCCGGAUUUAUUGGGUUUAAAGGGUGCGUAGGCGGAAGAUUAAGUCAGCGGUAAAAUUGAGAGGCUCAACCUCUUCCCGCCGUUGAAACUGGUUUUCUCGAGUGGGCGAGAAGUAUGCGGAAUGCGAGGUGUAGCGGUGAAAUGCAUAGAUAUCACGCAGAACUCCGAUUGCGAAGGCAGCAUACCGGCGCCCAACUGACGCUGAAGCACGAAAGCGUGGGUAUCGAACAGG
rnacentral:rRNA from 1 species